ACCCCUCUCAUUUUUUUGUUUCAUAAGUAAAAAAAUCUAUUUUGUGUGUUGAAGCAUCUAUUUUUUUUUUUUGCAUGAAAAAGCACUCCAAUGACUUCUUAUCGAAACUCCCAACCUAACACUUGGAAAAGCAAAGACAUUAAUAAAUCCAUGCGCGUGGACAACCAAUAUUCCCUAUUGGUGUCGGCGCCAUUUUUUCCUCGCCCCAUGUCUCCCUCGA
rnacentral:lncRNA from 1 species